rnacentral:misc_RNA from 1 species
GCAAACUUGGUCAUUUAGAGGAAGUAAAAGUCGUAACAAGGUUUCCGUAGGUGAACCUGCGGAAGGAUCAUUAUUGAAUUAACUUGGAUACUGUAGCUGGUGCGCAAGCACAUGUGCUCGUGUUCAUUUUACCUCUCAUCUCUUUGUGCACCUUUUCUAGUCUUGAGUUUUGAACGUGAACCUCUCACAUUUUCGAAUGUGGAUGUAGGGUUUGGCUUUGUUGCCUUUCUCUUACUCGCAAGUAAAGCUUGAGAUUAGGUUUUACAUACCUUUAUAAAAAGUCAUAGAAUGUCACUUUGUUGGCGCAAGCCGAUAAAACCUAUACAACUUUCAGCAACGGAUCUCUUGGCUCUCCCAUCGAUGAAGAACGCAGC